UUAUUUAUUAGUACAUUUAUUAUAUGCUCCACUGUCUCGAAAAAACAAAAAGUCAUUAUCCAGUUGAAAUGACAUAAAAUUAAAAAAUGGGAAUGGGACCAAUGUCUAACGCCCUCUCCUCUCCCUAUAAAACACAACACUAAAUCAUUUAGUGUUUCAUAAUCCAAACUUUCUCCUUCUUCUUCUUUGAUAGUCCGUCCCAAAAUCAUGUCACUUUCUUAUCUAUUCCCAGCACUGGAUUCUCGCCGGAAAAGCCGCUGCAGAGCUGCCGGAUUCCCCAAACGGUGUUUUUCGGUGGCGAAGCAGCAUAAAACCAGGAUUUACAUCCUUAGACGUUGUGUUACUAUGCUUCUUUGUUGGAAUGAUCGAGACCACAAUUAACCAAUUUUAAUUAAAUCUAUUCCACCUCUCCGAUGAAUCAUCUGGGUAUUUUCUUGAGCUUGCCAAUUCUCAGUCUUGAUCAAGUUUGAAGAUAUAUGAUUAAUGUUCUGGGUAUUUCUCCAUGGAUCUUGAAAACCUUGUAUGAAAUGGCAAAGUUGUCCCAAAAUUCAGCCCGAAUGCAUGCAGGUUUGUCAAAGAUUGACCGCAAAGGGUUAUGCAGCAAAUAUGGAAAUCUUUGGCAUCUGUUUGUGAGAAAAGUGGAUUUUUCCAGUAAUUACAAAACGUGAUGGAUUUCUUUUAGUAUGGAGCAAAACAGAGGUUUCGUGUUUUGUUGUUUUAGAGGCUUGUCCAAACAGAGAAUACGGUAGGUGGGGAAAUUAUGUACAAAAGGGAGUAUUAUAUUAUGUACACAGCAGAGAAUGUACAACUUAUUACUUAGAUAUCAUCAAUAAAUAGAAAAUUAGAAACAUAAGAAUUGUUUUUAUUCCCUCAACUUAUUACAUUCCUCAUAUAAAUGGUGAUUAUUCUCUCGAUUGAAAAUGGAUGGAGUACUAAGUAAAUUGUAGAAAAUAAUCAUUAUUGUCAAACAUAUUUUAUGGAUCUGAUUACGAUUGAUAAAAUUGAUCAAUACAGUGUUGACACGCAGCAUUUCCCGACCUCUGUAUUGAUCAAUUGAUCAAAAUUAACUUUAUACUAACCACUUUAAUAUUAAAAUGAUCAUUAUUUAAUAUAUAUUAAUUUCUUUUUCUUUUUUGUCUUACGAUUGUGUCACACUCACUUGUUAAAAAGUUUUAAGGGUAAGACACUAUUUUGGGCUUACACACCACUCACCCAACAAGAAAGAGAUGAUAACUAGAUGGCAUUGCUUAUAGUAUUAAAAAUAGGGUACUUGAAUAUUAGUAUUAGAUAUAAACUGCAACAUAAG
rnacentral:lncRNA from 1 species